rnacentral:rRNA from 1 species
AGAGUUUGAUCAUGGCUCAGAUUGAACGCUGGCGGCAGGCCUAACACAUGCAAGUCGAGCGGUAACAGAAAGUAGCUUGCUACUUUGCUGACGAGCGGCGGACGGGUGAGUAAUGCUUGGGAACAUGCCUUGAGGUGGGGGACAACAGUUGGAAACGACUGCUAAUACCGCAUAAUGUCUACGGACCAAAGGGAGCUUCGGCUCUCGCCUUUAGAUUGGCCCAAGUGGGAUUAGCUAGUUGGUGAGGUAAUGGCUCACCAAGGCGACGAUCCCUAGCUGGUUUGAGAGGAUGAUCAGCCACACUGGGACUGAGACACGGCCCAGACUCCUACGGGAGGCAGCAGUGGGGAAUAUUGCACAAUGGGCGCAAGCCUGAUGCAGCCAUGCCGCGUGUGUGAAGAAGGCCUUCGGGUUGUAAAGCACUUUCAGUCAGGAGGAAAGGUUAGUAGUUAAUACCUGCUAGCUGUGACGUUACUGACAGAAGAAGCACCGGCUAACUCCGUGCCAGCAGCCGCGGUAAUACGGAGGGUGCGAGCGUUAAUCGGAAUUACUGGGCGUAAAGCGUACGCAGGCGGUUUGUUAAGCGAGAUGUGAAAGCCCCGGGCUCAACCUGGGAACUGCAUUUCGAACUGGCAAACUAGAGUGUGAUAGAGGGUGGUAGAAUUUCAGGUGUAGCGGUGAAAUGCGUAGAGAUCUGAAGGAAUACCGAUGGCGAAGGCAGCCACCUGGGUCAACACUGACGCUCAUGUACGAAAG